rnacentral:rRNA from 1 species
UACGGAGGGUGCGAGCGUUGUCCGGAAUCAUUGGGCGUAAAGGGCGCGUAGGUGGCCCGGUCAGUCUUUGGUGAAAGCGCGGGGCUCAACCCUGCGUCGGCCAGGGGAUACUGCCGCGGCUCGAGCACUGUAGAGGCAGGCGGAAUUCCGGGGUGUAGCGGUGGAAUGCGUAGAGAUCCGGAAGAACACCGGUGGCGAAGGCGGCCUGCUGGGCAGUUUUGCUGACACUGAGGCGCGACAGCGUGGGGAGCAAACAGG